rnacentral:misc_RNA from 1 species
CACCCGCAAUAGCAGGACAACCCGGGCGACGACGCUGCCCUGGGUCAGGAACUGGAUCUCCCACCUGAGGUACCCCUCGACGCGCGGGCCGGGGUUCUCGGGAGCCGGGAACCAGAACAGGCUCGUCGGGAAGAGGAGCAGGGUCACGACAAUACCCCAGACGCUGCGCCUGUAGGCGAAGAAGCAGAACGGCAGGAGGAAGAGUGGCCUGACGUACCAGCUCAACUCGUUGUGGUGCCUCGCCCAUACCCACGAGAGAAAGUCGUCGAGGAGUUCCAUAAAGUUUCCUUCCUUUCCAAGUAGUGUUUGGUCAACCUUUCCAAGCCUUGGUUCCUAGGAGGCUUAGACGUAGGCGACGAGCGCCCACAUAACGAUGGUGAGCAUGAGGUCGAUGUGCACUUGGCAGC